rnacentral:rRNA from 1 species
CCUACGGGAGGCAGCAGUGGGGAAUAUUGCACAAUGGGCGGAAGCCUGAUGCAGCGACGCCGCGUGAGGGAUGAAGGCCUUCGGGUUGUAAACCUCUUUCAGCAGGGACGAAGCGUGAGUGACGGUACCUGCAGAAGAAGCACCGGCUAACUACGUGCCAGCAGCCGCGGUAAUACGUAGGGUGCGAGCGUUGUCCGGAAUUACUGGGCGUAAAGAGUUCGUAGGCGGUUUGUCGCGUCGUUUGUGAAAACCCGGGGCUCAACUUCGGGCUUGCAGGCGAUACGGGCAGACUUGAGUGUUUCAGGGGAGACUGGAAUUCCUGGUGUAGCGGUGAAAUGCGCAGAUAUCAGGAGGAACACCGGUGGCGAAGGCGGGUCUCUGGGAAACAACUGACGCUGAGGAACGAAAGCGUGGGUAGCAAACAGGAUUAGAUACCCUGGUAGUCCACGCCGUAAACGGUGGGCGCUAGGUGUGGGUUCCUUCCACGGGAUCUGUGCCGUAGCUAACGCAUUAAGCCCCCCGC